rnacentral:rRNA from 1 species
CACGUAGGGCGCGAGCGUUGUCCGGAAUUAUUGGGCGUGAAGAGCUCGUAGGCGGCCUGUUGCGUCCGCUGUGAAAGCCCGGGGCUUAACCCCGGGUCGACAGUGGAUACGGGCAGGCUAGAGGUAGGUAGGGGAGAAUGGAAUUCCCGGUGUAGCGGUGAAAUGCGCAGAUAUCGGGAGGAACACCGGUGGCGAAGGCGGUUCUCUGGGCCUUACCUGACGCUGAGGAGCGAAAGCGUGGGGAGCGAACAGG